rnacentral:misc_RNA from 1 species
AACGCACAUUGCGCCCGCCAGUAUUCUGGCGGGCAUGCCUGUCCGAGCGUCAUUUCAACCCUCGAGCUCCCCCGGGGGCUUGGUGUUGGGGACCGGCCCCGCCCCGUCGCGGGUCGCCGCCCCCUAAAUACAGUGGCGGUCUCGCCGCGCCCUCCCCUGCGUAGUAAUUACAACCUCGCACCGGAGCGCGGCUCGACCACGCCGUCAAACCCCAACUUCUCCAAAAGGUUGACCUCGGAUCAGGUAGGAAUACCCGCUGAACUUAA